rnacentral:rRNA from 1 species
GACGAAGGAUGCAAGCGUUAUCCGGAUUCAUUGGGUUUAAAGGGAGCGUAGGUGGCCUGCUAAGUCAGUGGUGAAAUCUCUGGGCUUAACCCAGAAAUUGCCAUUGAUACUGGUGGGCUUGAGUGCAGUUGCUGUUGGCGGAAUAUGACAUGUAGUGGUGAAAUACAUAGAGAUGUCAUAGAACACCGAUUGACGAAGGCAGCUAACAAAACUGUAACUGACACUGAGGCUCGAAAGUGUGGGGAUCAAACAGG